CCUGAAGAUUUAAUGUUUUUCUGGAUUUACUGUAAUUGGAAAAAAACUGAAAACUUUGGGUUUCCACUGUUUGUCAAAAAAACAAGACACCUGCGCCAUCACCCUGUCAUGAUCUGUAUCAUGGCAGCCUUCCAGCUUUUCCCUGGUUGUUUGUCGUUGUGUCUGUCAGCUCCUCUUGUCUCCUCCCCUGUCUGUGUUCCCGGUGCAUGGGCGUGGCUUCUCUCUUCCCCUGGCAGGCAGCGCCAGGUGAAACCACUCCACUAAUCAACCUUCUCCAUAAAGUCCCUGGAUCUCCAGCCACUCAUCGCCAGAUCAUACUCUCAGCCUGAGAGUUGAGUCACCGUUGCCUGCCUGCCUGCCUGCCUACUCUUCGGUGUUCCAGUUACCUGCUCUCCUGCCGGCUUGCCUGAAUCAGACGCGACCGGCCACCGUGCCCAACCGCCAUCUUGGGAAGCGCUCAGCAAGAGGAACACUGGCUGCGAGCACACGGCGCUGCCAUUACUGGAGAAAACACCAAACAAAGAGCACCCUCACGUGUGGGGUGCUGGUGGUGCCACCACCAGCACCCCACACGUGACCCCCGGACACCUCCCCCAGCACGUCACCUUUCCCCACCUGCAUCUUGGAGAUUUCACUGUGUCACAAAUAAAUAUAUGCCAUGACUGACUGACAGGCAACAAAAACUCUAAACUACAGGCAAGUCAGUAGUUUUGCACAUUUGAGUAAACUGUAUACUGACAUCUCAUUCUCCAGGCUCUCUGUCACCAGAACAGAUAUCUGUAAAUCAGCAAGGGUGCAAUUCACAUUUACUUUCCAAAGCGAAGAUGACAGUAUCUCCAGGUCCAUCAAGACGAUGGCAAAGCAGCAGAUGGAAUUAAUUCCUAUAAAUAGGUGUUUCAUUCUGGGUUGGUAGACAGUCCAAACAUGCACCAGCCUUAGCCAUUACCACUCUGUAUCUCAAUACAAACGUAGCAUAUGGAUGAAAAAUUGCAUUUUUUUUUUUUCUCCUCCAGAAGUAUUCUUUCAGCUCAGUAUAAUUAUUGAGUUUCUUGUCUAAACGGCAACUUUGAGUGUUUAAUUAGUUCAUAAAGUCUUGUAGGGUGUGCCAGCCCAGAAGCAGGGUCCCCACGGCAGACUAACAACAGUCUGCUCAUUAGAAGAAGCCAUUGGUCUGUGUCUGUUGCUCUGCAUGGUCUGCUUUCAAAGUCUCUGGUGCUUAGAGGAAGCUACAGACGCACUGAGGAACACACAGGCAUAAUAACUUGCUCAGUGCUUCAAGGAGGAACAGUUACAUUACUAUCACCAGUGUCUUAGGUGAGAGGUACAUUAUAACAAAGUGGUGUGUCAUCUUCUUGCCAUGCGAGGCUGUGGAGUCUCUGAUAAUUGCAUGAUGGGGGAGUGAAAGAGAAGAGAAGAGGAGCGAGAAGUAGUGACUGGAUCUCCUUUUAGACCGGAUGUUUGGCAGGUGUGACACACUGCAGCAGCACUGAACCAGCUGGCAUCCACAGACAGACAGACAGACCGGAAGAGAGACGGAGAGUGAAAGGAAGAUAAGGGGAAGGAAAAGGCAAGCCUGCAAGGAGAUGAAUGAAGGGGUAGAGAAGGAAUGAGACAAGAUUAAGAUGAGUACAAAGGGUGAAAAUGGAGCGAGACAACAACUCUUUGCACAGACUUAGAAGGUUUCAGAAAUGUAAUAUGUUGCUCAGAUUGACAAUGCAAAACCUCACCAUCAUAUCUCCUCCAUGGCAAGGGGAUGUUACUGUGUGUGUGUGUGUGUGUGUGUGUGUGUGUGUGUGUGUGUGUGUGUGUGUGUGUGUGUGUGUGUGUGAAAUUUAGUCGUCAUAGAGCCAGUGGUGCUAUAUUACUGGCACCUAUUAAAUUGUUGCUUUUCCUAAUUAGCGUCAAUGUGAACUCGGUGGCUCAGCGGCCCAAAAUCUGUGUCACUUUUAUAAUCCUCCCUGCAGAAGAAUUUAAAAUGGAGGUAACUGCCUUUAGGCUGCACCACGGCUGGAUCAUUUCCAGGCCACAUUAAAUGAUAGGAUCUGUAAUAAGACCGAAAUGUAGCUUAGUUGAUUGAGUCAGGUGAAGGAGAGUGCUCUUGUUAUAUAAAUCCUAAUGUGAAAAUGAUGGAAGAAAAAUGAAGUCAGAUAGUGAUCAAAUGAUUUAUAACACAAGGAGCUACAUGUGUGAGUUACAUAACUAAAAAUAUAUUGAUGAAUUUAUACAAUUAUGUAAUUAGCUAAAUACUUCAAGGGGUGCAAAUGCAAAUUGAUUACAGUGACUCAUGGCUGUGAAGCAGGUGCACACAAGCAGAGGCAGGAUUAUCAGAUUGAAUCAUACCCAGAACUUGAAACUAAUUAAAACAUUCUUAGAUACAAGCUUUAUCUCUCAGCCUUCACGAACAAGUUUUGUGUGUAUUUAGAGGAGAUUUUGCUAAUAAAAAAAGAACUUUUAGGAAAAGACUGAAAGGAUUAUUUGCAGGGAAAAAAAAGGUUGCUAUGGCAUUCCUUGAGAGCAGGGCAGUGUGCUUGCUUGCAGUUUGCUUAUUCCCUCGACCUAACUGAGCAGGUGUUUGCCAAGCUCCUGGGGGAUUCUGUGUGUGUAUGUGUGUGUCUCUGUGUCUGUGAUGGAGAAAAAGAGAAAGGAAGGAGAGCAGUUCUAGUGGGGCAGGAUUUGCUGAAUGGACAGACUGACAGCCAGAGAUGUCCUCUGUGAGCCUGCAUGUGGCUUCACCACAGGGUGGCCUGGCAUACUUGGGCUUUGCACCUUAGCUGGUUUAUAAAUCCUAAAAAAAGGUCUCCACAACAUAUUCACUUGU